rnacentral:miRNA from 1 species
CUCCAGAUGUUGCUGAACUACAACUCCCAUGAUUCUCAGCUUAUUUGUUUUAUUCAAAGAAUCAUGGGAGUUGUAGUUCAGCAACAUCUGGAG